rnacentral:rRNA from 1 species
UUGACCUCGGAUCAGGUAGGAAUACCCGCUGAACUUAAGCAUAUCAAUAAGCGGAGGAAAAGAAACCAACAGGGAUUGCCCUAGUAACGGCGAGUGAAGCGGCAACAGCUCAAAUUUGAAAUCUGGCUCUCGGGCCCGAGUUGUAAUUUGUAGAGGAUACUUUUGAUGCGGUGCCUUCCGAGUUCCCUGGAACGGGACGCCAUAGAGGGUGAGAGCCCCGUCUGGUUGGAUGCCAAAUCUCUGUAAAGUUCCUUCAACGAGUCGAGUAGUUUGGGAAUGCUGCUCUAAAUGGGAGGUAUAUGUCUUCUAAAGCUAAAUACCGGCCAGAGACCGAUAGCGCACAAGUAGAGUGAUCGAAAGAUGAAAAGCACUUUGAAAAGAGAGUUAAAAAGUACGUGAAAUUGUUGAAAGGGAAGCGUUUAUGACCAGACUUGGGCUUGGUUAAUCAUCUGGGGUUCUCCCCAGUGCACUUUUCCAGUCCAGGCCAGCAUCAGUUUUCCCCGGGGGAUAAAGGCGGCGGGAAUGUGGCUCUCUUCGGGGAGUGUUAUAGCCCACCGUGUAAUACCCUGGGGGGGACUGAG